rnacentral:rRNA from 1 species
GAUCAUGGCUCAGGAUGAACGCUAGCUACAGGCUUAACACAUGCAAGUUGAACGGAACUUUUUUGAAGAUUUCUUUCGGAAUGAAUUUGAUUAAGUUUAGUGGCGGACGGGUGAGUAACGCGUGAGUAACCUGCCUCUAAGAGGGGAAUAACAUUCUGAAAAGAAUGCUAAUACCGCAUAAUAUAUAUUUAUCGCAUGGUAGAUAUAUCAAAGAUUUAUCGCUUAGAGAUGGACUCGCG